GCCCUGGUGGCCAAGUGGUAAGGCGUCGCACUCGUAAAAAGUGUUGAUAUGCGAAGAUCCUCGGUUCAAUUCCGAGUCAGGGCA